UACGAAGGGGGCUAGCGUUGCUCGGAAUCACUGGGCGUAAAGGGCUCGUAGGCGGCCGACUAAGUCAGACGUGAAAUCCCUCGGCUUAACCGGGGAACUGCGUCUGAUACUGGACGGCUCGAGUUCGGGAGAGGGAUGCGGAAUUCCAGGUGUAGCGGUGAAAUGCGUAGAUAUCUGGAGGAACACCGGUGGCGAAGGCGGCAUCCUGGACCGACACUGACGCUGAUGAGCGAAAGCCAGGGGAGCAAACGGG
rnacentral:rRNA from 1 species